UGCAGGAUGUCCAUGACUGAAUCACACAUGGAAGCUACUGGUGCUGUAAUGAACAUUACUUAUUGUCACUUCCUUCUUGCAAUACAUGUAUGUUCAAGAACAUGCAGGGUAUUAGUCUCAGAGUAAACACUGCAAAUAACAAGCAUAAAAAUGUUAGGGGGUUCUAGUUCCUCUAACCAAACAAAUUCUCAAAGUAUAGACAACACUAAAGAAGAUGGAAGAGUGGAAGAUUAAAGCUAAUUUGAUUUUAACAUAGUAAUUUGAAAAUUUAAUUGACAUGAUAUCUUGUAACUUUUGUUUUGAGAUUGUUCUGACUUUGUUGUAUAUUUUUAAAUACAUUAUGAUCCUCUUUAGGUUGACAUUUUGACCUAUUUUGCUUGUAAGAUUUGUUUUUUCAAUAUAAUUGAAGUUUUUUA